rnacentral:tRNA from 1 species
UCCCUGGUGGUCCAGUGGUUAAGACUCCAUGCUUCCAAUGCAGGGGGCAUGGGUUUGAUCCCUAAUUAGGGAA